CCUGAAGUUUGUCCUGCUCUGCACAAGAUGCUUUAAUACUAAAUCUCCAGAGUUCUCUUCUAUUUACUUUUAUUCUUUGGUUCUAUUCUCCUAUUUUGCCACUUGUACGUGCCAAACAACGUGCUUCCUGCUACACCCCCUGUUUCCUAAUCAACUAUUAAAGAUCUCUUCCAAGUGUAGACACAGCAGUAGCAGCAGGGGCUGCAGAUUUAAAACUAUAAUGUUAGGAAAGAAGUGAAGCUGCUUAUUUGCUCCCUCUGUGUUACCAGUAAAUAACUUCCUUAGAACUGGGCCUUUGGAAAAAUGACAUACGAAGGAAACUUCUCAGAACUGCAGAGAGGAUUCUGAAACUUUGAGCUAAAGGAACCUGUAAGGAUGGAUAAAGAUAUGCAUCGUAAGCCAGCUAGCCUGCUUCAGGCUACAAUGGCGUGUUUUAUUUGCUCUGCAUGGCUGAGGGGCUCAUCUCUAGGGGAGACACAUGGAUUAACUACGCAGGAAAAUAAGAUCUAUCUAUACAAUAGUAAGUAUAUGGAAAAUGGAUUGUACUCAAACCUAGUUCCACACAGCUCUCGUGGACUCUGCCAAAAUGGACUUUUAGAAGUACACGCACCAAAAGUGCAGCACUUGUGCAUAGAUGAGAAAGACUUAGCACCAAUCCCUACUGCAGAAAUGUAAAAAACAUGCUCACAAGGUAAAGUCCAGAUGGGGAUUCUGCUUAUUUGUUGCGUUCUCUAGUCACACCAAACUGAGAACAGUCUGUAAAGCUGGUGUUUCUGAAGAACUCCCACAUUUGUGAAAGACAUUAAACCUCACAAAGUUCUGUUAAUCUGCAUGCAGAGCUAAUGUCUCCAAAAUCUGAUACAUGAUUGAGAAUGCUGGUCCCAACACUAAACUCAAGUUCUCAUGAAAAGGAACUAUGUUGUGCCUUGAUACUACAGGAUCAGUAAAUGUAGUUGAAAACUGCUAGGUUCAACUGCCAUCCUGCUUCCUGAAAUACAGUAAUAGGUCCAUACUUGCACCAAAGCAAAAGCUGCCAGAAAUUUAAAGUUUUGGCUGGGGUACAAAGUUUUGAGCUGAAUGUAGACUAGAAUUCCUCUGAAGCCAAAAGUAAAAAAAUGGUCUCCAAUUAGUUCUUCCUAUGUAUAGAACAGCAUUCUCUACUAUCAUGUAAAUAAACAGAAACUGAAUUCAAAGCAUCUGAUUUGACCAUAGUUUUGUUACGGGAAGAUACAACGUUGUAGUUCUGUAUUUUUAUACCUAAAGAAAACAUAAUGGAUGGUCAUGUUCAAGGUGAACAGUACAUUAAGUGUGUCACUUGAUCCUGUCACUCCUAGUGAUCAGAAUGCAUGUCUUUUUGAAAAAAUCAAAACUACUUUGUGGAUUUUUUUUUUCCAACCUAUUACUGAAAUAAUCAUCUCAUUUUAAUUCACAAAAGGAAUUAUAUUACUUAGGACAGUAUCAAUAAGGAAUAAAACUGAUAUCCAUCUAUUUUUGAUCUAAGAGAUCCUAAGGCUUUUCUUCCUCCACUCAAAAAUGAUCAACUGAAUGUCUAAAAAAUCUUGCAGCUGGGAUGGAAUAACUACUUGUCAUGAUACAGUCUGGGAACCAACUGGCUGGGGAGCAGCUCUCCUGGAAAAGGACCUGACAUCUCACUGGACAACGCUUACGGGUAGAUGUCAGGAGCAUGCUCCAGAGACAAUGAAGGCUAACCACAUAGUGAGCUGAAAGGACAGGAGCCUAGCUAGUAGGAUAAGAAAGGUAACACUUAACAAGAUCACAUCUAGAAAACUAUGUGCAGUUUUGGGCCCUCUGAUACACAACAAAAACCAACAAAGUAGAGCAAAAUCAGAAGGCCACUAAGGGGCUGGAGCUCUUACCCUGCAAAGAGGGAGAGAGAACUGAGCUUCUUCAGUCUGGGGAAAAAAAAGUGGCUUCAGAGGGACAUAACACCAGUCCCUCAACACAAAGGAGAUUAAAAAGACAACAGAGACAGAUUCUUCCCAGCACAGUGGGAGGAUAUUAUGACAGUGAUCAAAAACCGAGGGAGGCUCUGACGACAGAGAGCACAAAGACGCACAACCGCACUUUCACACAAGGUCAGUCAAGCAGUGGAACAGGUUGCGCAAAGAGUUGGUGCAGUCUCUGUCCUCAGCAAUUUUCAAGACCUGAUCGGUCAAAAUUUAGAAAAUCCAGUUCAAAAUUCAGCACUGAAACUGAUCUAAACAGAAGGAUGGGCUACAGACAUCCUAAAGUCCCUUUCAACCUGAAUUAUUCUAUAAUUCUGUUCUGUAAUGCACAGUUACAGAAUAAUUAUAUGAUACAUUUUUAGUUACUAACAUUGACUCCUUCUGUGGCAAGAGCGAUUCACUUCUCAGAAAUGCUCUAUGACAAGUAAUAAAAACUAAAGCAGAUAAUUAUCAAUAGAUAAUAUCAUGACUUGUGGAUGGGUUUCUAUUAGAUGGAGAUUUGUUACUGAACUAGCCAGACCCAAAGGAAUUUCAAGGCCACCUCAGAAAGCUGAAAACAGGACCUGCUGAGUGAGGCAGUUCAACAAUAACAGGGCCUGAACAAGACGUAAAUCAACAGACCUAUCAGCAGUAAGACUCCAGUGUGUGGACAGCUCGUAAACAUAGAUGAUAUCCAAUUAGUGAAUGCACGCUUGGAGCGUGGACGUGUGAUCAGAGCAUAGUUGCAUAUAUAAGGAGGCUUGUUUCUGUAAUAAAUGGCUUCGCGUGAUUCACACUGAAUUGGAAUGCUGAGUCCUUUAUUCAUUCCAACAAUGAAUAGUAUCUGCUGACACAAAAAUUACUAGUGAAGAAGCCACAGAAACACACUGACAGUCUGCUACUUUUCUUCUUUUAACACAAAAUUCUGCAGAACUGUUUCUGUCGUGUCUUGUAUUUCUCUCAAACAAUUCAGUGGGGGAGUCUCAAUAUCCAGACAUCCCCAAAAAAACAAACUUGCAAGGAAAAAAAACCACACUAUACUGAUGAAAAGGCUCAGGGUUAUAUGACACUGUUGCUUUGUCAUCUGCCAUUGAAAGCCAUUAAAAUAACAAAGAUAUUCAAAACCCCCAACAAUUUAAAAGCCUUGAAAGCUGGGCAUCUUGUAUAUAAAAUAUUUAAUAAUAAAAUGUAUUUCAGUCAAUAUAAUUAAAUAACAUUGAGACUGUAUUGAUAAUGCAGCUCUAGACAAUAGACAAAUUCUACCCAAGGGAUAAGUGACUUCCAAGAGUAAAUUAAUUUCUUGCUACAUUUAUUAAUAAAAUCAACUUUAAUUGUUCGCAGAAUUUACACAGUGAUAUCUAUCCUCACUGAGAACAGCUAAAAAGAGAUGCAAAGUUAGGGAAGAUCUUUUAAUCAUUAUAUCAAAAGUGACUCAUCAGUGAAAAAGUGAGAUUGUACUUCCACAA